UACGUAGGGUGCAAGCGUUGUCCGGAAUUAUUGGGCGUAAAGAGCUCGUAGGCGGUUUGUUGCGUCGGCUGUGAAAUCCCGAGGCUCAACCUCGGGUCUGCAGUCGAUACGAGCAAACUAGAGUGUUGCAGGGGAGACUGGAAUUCCUGGUGUAGCGGUGAAAUGCGCAGAUAUCAGGAGGAACACCGGUGGCGAAGCGGGUCUCUGGGCAACAACUGACGCUGAGGAGCGAAAGCGUGGGGAGCGAACAGG
rnacentral:rRNA from 1 species